rnacentral:rRNA from 1 species
GGGUUGUGAGGUUAAGCGACCAAGCGUACACGGUGGAUGCCCUGGCAGUCAGAGGCGAUGAAGGACGUGCUAAUCUGCGAUAAGCGUCGGUAAGGUGAUAUGAACCGUUAUAACCGGCGAUUUCCGAAUGGGGAAACCCAGUGUGACUCGUCACACUAUCAUUAACUGAAUCCAUAGGUUAAUGAGGCGAACCGGGGGAACUGAAACAUCUAAGUACCCCGAGGAAAAGAAAUCAACCGAGAUUCCCCCAGUAGCGGCGAGCGAACGGGGAGGAGCCCAGAGCCUGAAUCAGCAUGUGUGUUAGUGGAAGCGUCCGGAAAGGCGCGCGAUACAGGGUGACAGCCCCGUACACAAAAGCGCAU